UCGUAGUCGGCACGAGCGCACCCACAUCCCUAGUUGCCAGCAGUUCGGCUGGGCACUCUAUGGAAACUGCCCGUGAUAAGCGGGAGGAAGGUGUGGAUGACGUCAAGUCCUCAUGGCCCUUACGGGUUGGGCUACACACGUGCUACAAUGGCAGUGACAAUGGGUUAAUCCCAAAAAACUGUCUCAGUUCGGAUUGGGGUCUGCAACUCGACCCCAUGAAGUCGGAAUCGCUAGUAAUCGCGUAACAGCAUGACGCGGUGAAUACGUUCCCGGGCCUU
rnacentral:rRNA from 1 species